rnacentral:rRNA from 1 species
UUUAUUGGAGAGUUUGAUCCUGGCUCAGGACGAACGCUGGCGGCGUGCCUAAUACAUGCAAGUCGAGCGGACCUUUCAAAAGCGUGCUUUUGAAAGGUCAGCGGCGGACGGGUGAGUAACACGUGGGCAACCUGCCUGUAAGACUGGGAUAACUUCGGGAAACCGGAGCUAAUACCGGAUAAUAUAAGGAACCUCCUGGUUCUUUAUUGAAAGAUGGUUUCGGCUAUCACUUACAGAUGGGCCCGCGGCGCAUUAGCUAGUUGGUGAGGUAAUGGCUCACCAAGGCGACGAUGCGUAGCCGACCUGAGAGGGUGAUCGGCCACACUGGGACUGAGACACGGCCCAGACUCCUACGGGAGGCAG